UACGGGGGGGGCAAGCGUUGUUCGGAAUUACUGGGCGUAAAGGGCUCGUAGGCGGCCAACUAAGUCAGACGUGAAAUCCCUAGGCUUAACCUGGGAACUGCGUCUGAUACUGGAUGGCUCGAGUUUGGGAGAGGGAUGCGGAAUUCCAGGUGUAGCGGUGAAAUGCGUAGAUAUCUGGAGGAACACCGGUGGUGUAAACGGCAUCCUGGACCAUUACUGACGCUGAUGCACGAAAGCGUGGGGAGCAAACAGG
rnacentral:rRNA from 1 species